rnacentral:lncRNA from 1 species
AGUCCUUGUGAGGAGUCACAGGACUGUUUGAGUUGAGCACGAUUCGGAUGAUCUGAUCAGGGUUGACAGUUUAACCCUGAGUCAUCCUAAACAUAAGGGUCAAAAGGUUGAAUUAUACAGUAACCAUAUUCAUGUAGGUUCUGAGUGUUGUGAUUGCGACUCUUCGACCUAUCUGGAUGUCGGGUACCAUUGCUAGAUGGUCACUUCGAUUAGUAUAGGAAUUGGUUCCUGUGCUACCGGCUUAGGUUCGA